rnacentral:rRNA from 1 species
GACGUAGGGCGCGAGCGUUGUCCGGAUUUAUUGGGCGUAAAGAGCUCGUAGGCGGCUUGUCGCGUCGGCUGUGAAAACCCGUGGCUCAACUGUGGGCGGGCAGCUGAUACGGGCAGGCUGGAGUUCGGUAGGGGAGACUGGAAUUCCUGGUGUAGCGGUGAAAUGCGCAGAUAUCAGGAGGAACACCGGUGGCGAAGGCGGAUCUCUGGGCCAUUACUGACGCUGAGGAGCGAAAGCGUGGGGAGCGAACAGG